CUUUUCCCUUCCUUCUUCACCGAGCAAGCAGAGCAACCACUCCUUCUUCUAUUCCUUCUUCUUCUCGAGCACCACCAUCACCAUCUCACUGCUACCAGCACCAUUAUCUACCUUCUUCUUUUUAUUAAAUCAACUUUCCCUAUAACCCCCUUGUUUAUCUCUACAGUGGAACCCCACAUAUAGGAUUUCUAUUUUUCUUAUCUAGGGUUUCAAUUAUAGAGAUGGACAAGAGAUUAUUUCGAUUGAUCUAAAGGAGGACGCGAAUUGAAAAAUAAAGGUUGCAAAUAAUUUUGAUUGAUCUACAAGAGGUUCUUAAUCAGGAAAAAUUAAGCAUUUUGGGUUUAUCGCGUUUGUAUCUCCUAAAGUUUAUACCUGUACUUGAUGUGGUUCGCUUCGAUGGUCGUCUGCACGUGAUAUCUCCAGGCGCGACUCUAAUAUGCUUGACAUGAAGAAGUCCAUGGGUCUUGCUGAUACAUAUGAUGAAGGUAAUAGAAACGGACCUUGACGGAUUACUAGACUGCCGAAGUUUCUGAUCAUAUACUUUUUUAUCCGACUCCAUUACUGCUAAUGUAUGUGGUUUAAGGGAAAAUAUCAAAACCUAGAAGUUCUGGCAUUUUAGAUGGAGACAAGGAUCGCCUCUUUGGAAGAAGAAUUGAAAGUUGUGCCGAAUGAUCAACUCUGCAAUCAGUUGUUAGAAUGAGUAGGUGUUCAAAUCGUUUAUUUGAAUAAAUUGAAACCCUUCUUAUUGGAUAAUCGUGAUACUUCCGAAAAACCGAAAUUCUUGAUCAAUGGAGGAACAAUAUCACCGUUUUUAUUCAAUAAGAUACCAAAGUGGAUGAUUGACUCA